GAGUUACUCCCUCCGUUCCAUAAUUCUUGUCUCAAAUUUGCCUAAAAAUGGAUGUAUCUAUUUCUAAAAAGCGUUUAGAUACAUGUAAUAUUUCGACAAGAAUUAUGGAACGGAGGGAGUAGUAA
rfam:Brachypodium distachyon strain Bd21 chromosome 3, whole genome shotgun sequence.